rnacentral:rRNA from 1 species
AAUGAACGUUGGCGACGUGGAUUAGGCAUGCAAGUCGUUCGCCCCGCGAGGGGCGAGGCGCAAGGGUGAGUAAGGCGACGACAACUAACCCCGAGGGUGGGCAUAGCCGCGGGAAACUGCGGGUAAUUCCCAGCGAAGUCGGAGGGUGGCAUCAUCCACCGACCAAAGGUGCGAUAUUCGCCUCGGGACGGGUCGUCGUGGUAUCAGCUAGUUGGUGGGGUAACGGCCCACCAAGGCGAAGACGCCUACCGGGCGUGCGAGCGUGGCCCGGCACACUGGGACUGAGACACUGCCCAGACACCUACGGGUGGCUGCAGUCGAGAAUCUUCGGCAAUGGGCGCAAGCCCGACCGAGCGACGUCGCGUGGAGGACGAAGGCCUUCGGGUUGUAAACUCCUGUCGAGGGGGAACAAGGGCCGGUGGAGAGCCGGACUUGAGUGAUCCCUGGAGGAAGCACGGGCUAAGUUCGUGCCAGCAGCCGCAGUAACAC